rnacentral:rRNA from 1 species
UACGUAGGGGGUUAGCGUUGUCCGGAAUCAUUGGGCGUAAAGAGCGCGUAGGCGGCCAGAUAAGUCCGGUGUGAAAGUCACAGGCUCAACCUGUGAAUGCCGCUGGAAACUGUCUGGCUAGAGUCCGGAAGGGGCGAGUGGAAUUCCUGGUGUAGCGGUGAAAUGCGCAGAUAUCAGGAGGAACACCAAUGGCGAAGGCAGCUCGCUGGGACGGUACUGACGCUGAGGCGCGAAAGCGUGGGGAGCAAACAGG